UACGAAGGGGGCUAGCGUUGUUCGGAAUUACUGGGCGUAAAGCGCACGUAGGCGGCUUUGUAAGUUAGAGGUGAAAGCCCGGGGCUCAACUCCGGAACUGCCUUUAAGACUGCAUCGCUUGAAUCCAGGAGAGGUGAGUGGAAUUACGAGUGUAGAGGUGAAAUUCGUAGAUAUUCGGAAGAACACCAGUGGCGAAGGCGGCUCACUGGACUGGUAUUGACGCUGAGGUGCGAAAGCGUGGGGAGCAAACAGG
rnacentral:rRNA from 1 species